rnacentral:rRNA from 1 species
GCUUGUCUCAAAGAUUAAGCCAUGCAUGUCUCAGUAUAAACUUCUAUACGGUGAAACUGCGAAUGGCUCAUUAAAACAGUUAUAAUUUAUUUGAUGGUUCUUGCUACUUGGAUAACCGUAGUAAUUCUAGAGCUAAUACAUGCAUCAAACCCCGACUCACGAAGGGGUGUAUUUAUUAGAUGGAAACCAAUGCGGGGCAACCCGGUAUAUGGUGAUUCAUAAUAACUUUCGGAUCGAUCUUCGGAUCGAUGCAUCAUUCAAGUUUCUGCCCUAUCAGCUUUGGAUGGUAGGGUAUUGGCCUACCAUGGCUUUAACGGGUAACGGAGAAUUAGGGUUCGAUUCCGGAGAGGGAGCCUGAGAAAUGGCUACCACAUCCAAGGAAGGCAGCAGG